rnacentral:rRNA from 1 species
AAUUAGGGUUCGAUUCCGGAGAGGGAGCCUGAGAAACGGCUACCACAUCCAAGGAAGGCAGCAGGCGCGCAAAUUACCCAAUCCCGAUACGGGGAGGUAGUGACAAUAAAUAGCAAUACAGGGCUCUUAUGGGUCUUGUAAUUGGAAUGAGUACAAUUUAAAUCCCUUAACGAGGAACAAUUGGAGGGCAAGUCUGGUGCCAGCAGCCGCGGUAAUUCCAGCUCCAAUAGCGUAUAUUAAAGUUGUUGCAGUUAAAAAGCUCGUAGUUGAAUUUCGGGGUUCUACUGUUGGUCGGGCAAUUGUCUGUACUGAUGUGUAGAAUUUCUACCUUCUGGAGAACCAUCAUGUUAUUAAUUUAGCGUGGUGGGAAACCAGAACCUUUACCUUGAAAAAAUUAGAGUGUUCAAAGCAGGCUUACGUCUGAAUACAUUAGCAUGGAAUAAUAAAAUAGGACGGUGGUCCUGUUUUGUUGGUUUCUGAAUCACCGUAAUGAUUAAUAGGGAUAGUUGGGGGCAUUAGUAUUCAAUUGUCAGAGGUGAAAUUCUUGGACUUAUUGAAGACUAACUUCUGCGAAAGCAUUUGCCAAGGAUGUUUUCAUUAAUCAAGAACGAAAGUUAGGGGAUCGAAGACGAUCAGAUACCGUCGUAGUCUUAACCAUAAACUAUGCCGACUAGGGAUCGGACGAUGUUA